GCUUGUCUCAAAGAUUAAGCCAUGCAUGUCUAAGUAUAAACUGCUUAUACUGUGAAACUGCGAAUGGCUCAUUAAAUCAGUCAUAAUUUAUUUGAUGGUACCUACUACUCGGAUAACCGUAGUAAUUCUAGAGCUAAUACGUGCGCACAACCCAGACUUACGAAUGGGUGCACUUAUUAGAUAAAGCCAACGCUGGGUAAAACCAGUUUCCCUUGGUGAUUCAUAAUAAUUAAGCGGAUCGCAUGGCCUUGUGCUAGCGACAGUCCACUCGAUUUUCUGCCCUAUCAUGGUUGAGAUUGUAAGAUAGAGGCUUACAAUGCCUACAACGGGUAACGGGGAAUUAGGGUUCGAUUCCGGAGAGGGAGCCUGAGAAACGGCUACCACAUCCAAGGAAGGCAGCAGG
rnacentral:rRNA from 1 species